AUUGAAGGUUUGUGGCAACCCUCCAUGGAGCAAGUCCAUUGGCAUCAUUUUUCCAAGAGCACUUGCUCACCUGUGUCUCUGUGUCACAUUUGGGCCAUUCAUUCAUUUAAGAAGCACUGUUUGGAUUGUCUAUCAUGUGUAAUGCAGUCUACUAGGGACUGGAAUAUAUACAAAGAUACAGAAGACAGAGUUCCCCACUAAAGGUGCUCACAGCGAGAGAAGAUAUGAUGAAAUGUGACUUUGAAGCUGGUGGAAAAGUUACAAGGUGUUCUAAUGUACACAUAAGAACAGGCACACGGCUUCUCCCUUUCUUCCAGUGUCCACAGAGAGUAUUUUAUUAGUAGACAAGAGGAAUAAAAUGCAUUGAUGUACCCCCUGAA